AAGCUGCUGUGUGAUUUUCUAGGGAGUCCACACUGCAGACUGAAGACUCUGAGAUUGUGGCGCUGCAGUUUGUCAGAGAUCAGCUGUGCUUCUCUGGCCUCAGCUCUGAAGUCCAACCCCUCCCAUCUGACGGAGCUGGACCUGAGAGAGAACAACCUGCAGGACUCAGGAGUGAAGCUGCUGUGUGAUCUUGUGGAGAGUCCACACUGCAGACUGAAGACUCUGAGCUGGAAGUGAUGAGAAAGGUGUUUGUGUUGAGAGAGGAUCAGCUGAGUCCUGAUGAUCCAG